rnacentral:rRNA from 1 species
GAUGAACGCUGGCGGCGUGCCUAACACAUGCAAGUCGAGCGUGAUUGUUGCGAGUGGAGACUUCGGUUGAAGCGAACAACAUGAAAGCGGCGGACGGGUGAGUAACGCGUGGGCAACCUGCCCCAUACAGCGGAAUAGCCACUGGAAACGGUGAUUAAUGCCGCAUAAGACCACAGAGUCGCAUGGCUCGGAGGUCAAAGAUUUAUCGGUAUGGGAUGGGCCCGCGUCUGAUUAGCUAGUUGGUGAGGUAACGGCUCACCAAGGCGACGAUCAGUAGCCGACCUGAGAGGGCGGACGGCCACACUGGAACGGAGACACGGUCCAGACUCCUACGGGAGGCAGCAGUGGGGAAUAUUGCACAAUGGGCGCAAGCCUGAUGCAGCAACGCCGCGUGAGUGAAGAAGGCCUUCGGGUCGUAAAGCUCCGUCCUUUGGGAAGAAGAAAGUGACGGUACCAAAGGAGGAAGCCCCGGCUAACUACGUGCCAGCCGCCGCGGUAA